rnacentral:rRNA from 1 species
AAUACCGGAUAAUAAGAGAAGAAGCAUUUCUUCUUUUUGAAAGUCGGUUUCGGCUGACACUUACAGAUGAGCCCGCGGCGCAUUAGCUAGUUGGUGAGGUAACGGCUCACCAAGGCGACGAUGCGUAGCCGACCUGAGAGGGUGAUCGGCCACACUGGGACUGAGACACGGCCCAGACUCCUACGGGAGGCAGCAGUAGGGAAUCUUCGGCAAUGGGCGAAAGCCUGACCGAGCAACGCCGCGUGAGCGAUGAAGGCCUUCGGGUCGUAAAGCUCUGUUGUUAGAGAAGAACAAGUACGAGAGUAACUGCUCGUACCUUGACGGUACCUAACCAGAAAGCCACGGCUAACUACGUGCCAGCAGCCGCGGUAAUACGUAGGUGGCAAGCGUUAUCCGGAAUUAUUGGGCGUAAAGCGCGCGCAGGCGGUCUCUUAAGUCUGAUGUGAAAGCCCACGGCUCAACCGUGGAGGGUCAUUGGAAACUGGGAGACUUGAGUGCAGGAGAGAAAAGUGGAAUUCCACGUGUAGCGGUGAAAUGCGUAGAGAUGUGGAGGAACACCAGUGGCGAAGGCGGCUUUUUGGCCUGUAACUGACGCUGAGGCGCGAAAGCGUGGGGAGCAAACAGGAUUA